CUAGCGAUCCGCAGGAGUUAGACAUAUGACUCUGCGGGCAGAUUACGGGAAACCAAAGCUUUUUGGUUCCGGGGGAAGUAUGGUUGCAAAUCUGAAACUUAAAGGAAUUGACGGAAGGGCACCACCAGGAGUGGAGCCUGCGGCUUAAUUUGACUCAACGCGGGGAAACUCACCCGGUCCGGACACCGUUAUGAUUGACAGAUUGAUAGCUCUUUCUUGAUUUGGUGGGUGGUGGUGCAUGGCCGUUCUUAGUUGGUGGAGCGAUUUGUCUGGUUAAUUCCGAUAACGAACGAGACUCUAGCCUACUAAACUAGGCAAUGAAUUUGGUUGUUUAUUGAACUUCUUAGAGGGACAAAGGGUGUUUAGCCCUACGAGAUUGAGCAAUAACAGGUCUGUGAUGCCCUUAGAUGUCCGGGGCUGCACGCGCGCUACACUGAAGGAAUCAACGUGCUUGCCUGCCUUGUCCGGAAGGACCGGGUAACCCGUUGAAACUCCUUCGUGCUUGGGAUAGGGACUUGUAAUUAUUUCCCUUAAACGAGGAAUUCCUAGUAAGCGCGGGUCAUCAUCUCGCGUUGAUUACGUCCCUGCCCUUUGUACACACCGCCCGUCGCUACUACCGAUUGGAUGAUUUAGUGAGGCCUUCGGACUGGUAACGCUGUGGUUUCGCGACUACUGUGUAAUUCUGGGAAGAUGGCCAAACUUGAUCAUCUAGAGGAAGUAAAAGUCGUA
rnacentral:rRNA from 1 species